UCUAGUGUGUUGAAGGGAAGGAGUAGGCUGCAAACACCAUACAGGGAGAAAUAUCCGUGAUUGAAAGGUAUUUCAUGGUUAAGGUAGUUGAAAGACAUCCUGGAGCAGAGGUCUGAAUUGAGUAGGGCUUUCCGUUUUCCGCGUUAAGGAAUUAAGUGGGUUAAUCCAAUUAGGGUGGUACCGCGGGUAUACAGCUCGUCCCUUUG
rnacentral:ncRNA from 1 species